GGAAAAGAUGAAGGGUAAAAAUGGGAUUUUUUUGGAUGUUGGAGCUAAUGUAGGAAUGGCUACUUUUGCUGCUGCUGUAAUGGGGUUUAAAGUUUUGGCCUUUGAACCUGUUUUUGAGAAUUUGCAGAAAAUUUGUGAAGGUAUUUACUUUAAUAGAGUUGGAGAGUUGGUUGAGGUUUAUGAAGCAGCUGUCUCUGAUCAUAAUGGGAAUAUUACCUUUCACAAGUUGGUUGGUAGACUUGACAAUAGUGCAGUAUCUGCCACCGGUGCCAAGUUGGCUUUUAAGUCAAAUGAAGAGAUUGAAGUUCAAGUAAAAACUAUUCCUCUUGAUGAGGUUAUCC
rnacentral:misc_RNA from 1 species